GACAGAGGAUGCAAGCGUUAUCCGGAAUGAUUGGGCGUAAAGCGUCUGUAGGUGGCUUUUUAAGUCCGCCGUCAAAUCCCAGGGCUCAACCCUGGACAGGCGGUGGAAACUACCAAGCUGGAGUACGGUAGGGGCAGAGGGAAUUUCCGGUGGAGCGGUGAAAUGCGUAGAGAUCGGAAAGAACACCAACGGCGAAGGCGGCCCGCUGGGCAGUGGCUGACGCUGAGGCGCGACAGCGUGGGGAGCAAACAGG
rnacentral:rRNA from 1 species